rnacentral:lncRNA from 1 species
CUUUAUAUUAUGUGACAUACAUAAAGCCAUUGCCUUAAAAUGGGCAGAGCAGUCUCCCUUCACAGGAGAUUAAGUUUCUUUUCAUUUACCUUUCUACUCUUCAAAAGAAUUCUUCCCCAUUAACUCACCCUCCUUUUCUUCCCUCGUGGUUUCAAACUCUGAAAUAAUUAACUCAUGUUUUUAAAGAAGAAAAUGCUUCUAUUAACCCUUUGAUUGUAUGAAUCAUUUGAAAAUGUUGUGCUAUUCUCACUUUCUCUACCUUUUUCACUUUUUUCUCUCUUGUUCUUUUUUUCUCUUUAUCUUUGUUCAUCAUUUAAGACAGGAUAGGAUAGAGAUCUCCUCCGUGGAAUGUUCCUUACAGCUACUGAAAGGUGAGUAAAGAUAAGAUUAAUGUCUGGUAGAACGCAGCAUAAUGUCUGUAACACUUUAUAGAACAUCUGCCACUAACAUUUUAUAUUUUAAUCAGUAUAUGUAUCAAAAAUGUAUUGAGCUAUUUGUGUUUCCUAUGUCUCUGCAUGUGCUAUUGAACAAACUUGGCAUUUUCUUAUUACACUACAUCCCUGUAGAGCAGGGAUAGGCAACCUCCGGCACACCCGGUGUUGUGGACUACAUCCCCCAUAAUCCUCUUACACCCAUAAUGCUGGCAAAGCAUCAUGGGAGGUGUAGUCCAAAACAUCUGGAGUGCCGAAGGUUGCCUAUGCCUACUGUAGAGAAACAGUUCUGUGGAGUGAAACUACUGGGUUAUUUACUAAACUAGUUGUAAAUGUAUGUCCAUAAUAACCAAAUUAAAAAAUAUCUUUUUUUUUUGAUGGUUUACAAUUAUGCCCUUUCCUUAUCAGCUCUUGACAAGUUCCAGUUUAGCAAAUAAACUCAUAAAUCUCAAUUUGACAGGUUAUAACUAUUCAGUCCAAUUAUACUGUUAUGGAUAGAAAUGCCCCCUGAAUUAGUAUACAUUGAGCAUUUACUUAUGAUUAUUUAAGAGGUGACCAUUGAAAGAGAUACAGAAAGAAGGAAUUAACAUUUUUUUAUUUUUACUGAUUUUAUUUGUUGUAGGAACAAUGAUUAUGUACAUAUCAACACAACCCUUAUAGGUCUUGCUCAGACAAACAAUGUCAACUGUUACAUAUUGCACUAAUAGCAACUAGUAAUGCUCGUUUUCUGUAACAAUUUUUUAUUAGUUCCAAUUUACCACUGUUUAAUACACAUAGUAUACAAUACAUUAAUAAAACUAAUAUAAGUAUUUUUUCCAACCAGAACACAAAUAAGAUAUUUUCUAGUAAAAUGUGAAGGUUCAUGAACAUUGUUUACUGUGCAGCAGUCUUAGAAUGAUCCUCGACAUCAUAUCAAGUUUAAAAUAAAGGUUACCAUUGCUAGGGGGAUGACCCAUGCUGGAGUCCCUUGUGGGCUCCAAAAUAGACUAUGGUCUGAUUUAGGGACAUUUUCAUUGUUAGCUCAGUGUUUUGAAAAUAUGCAACUGAAAAUUUUAUUCCUCUCUCCAUAUUAAAAAUUGGAAUCCUGACAUACAAUUUACCCCAGGGCUUAAGCCUAGGGUCUUUUUCCAACUUACAAUGCUCCUGGUGUUUUUCAAAAAAAUGUCUGCAAUUUUGUAUAUGUGUGCAUCUGCACAAAUGUACAUGAAAACAGACACCAGGGUGUAACAUUUCAAGCUAGGCUUUAAAAGUUACUCACCACUGUAAGCUUUUAGUGUCCAUGACAUACUUACCAGGGGUUAAUUUCUGCCCUCCAAGGGGCGAUUUUCACUAGCCAAUGGCCAGUUACAAGUAGACAUUUAAAAGCCCUGCACACACAAUAAUUAUAAUGUAGAAUCAGUAAAUAUAUGGAUGGAUGGAUGGACACAGGCGCAUAGAAAACAAAGAUGAGUAGAGAUUUCAACUUUGGAAUGGAACACAAACACACACACAGAGAUUAUAAUUGAUUUUUUGCAGGUAUUGCAGGAAAUUGGUUAUUCAAACCAAUUAUCCAUCCUAUUACUUACUGUGGCAGAAGUGAUGUUUAAUAAUAAUGCAGCCUGCACUGAGCAUUCAUUUGCUGGCUUAGUUUAUUCUGUAAACUUGCUCUUGAGAUAUAUACAUCUUGUUCGGCCAAUAGUUAGAAUUGAACACCAUUCCAAAGUUGAUUAAGGCAGACAGAGAAGCAGAUAGAGAGUUAAACAUGUGGUAGAUAGACAGGCAGUCAGACAGACAGACAGUAGCAAUGGCUCUCCAAGAUCAUGGUAACCUCAUCUAGCAUUAGCAUAGAUGACUUUGGAUUGUGGAUAGUUAAGAACUUCUUAAUUAUUCUUAAUAUGACCUAAAAACUUGAAUCAGGCAAGAAAAAUAUAAAGUUAAAAAAAAUCUGAUCCCACACAAACUUUAUUCAUUUGAGUGUGGAGAAAACACAAGGCAGUUCUUAAUGUUCUACUGAAGAUUAUGGAUGCAUCACUUUGCUAUUAGAGUAGUAGAGUGACCAUCUAGGCAGUACAAUCCAGAAGUAUGGGAUUAACCCCUUAAGGACACAACUUUAGAAAUAAAAGGGAAUCAUGACGGAAUAUUUCCGUCAUGUGUCCUUAAGGGGUUAAUGCUUAACCUGUUCAUACAGAUAACAUGUUUAAUUCUAAUUUUCUAAAUAUUCAAACCUAAGGAGACCAUUUGUUUCAAAAUAUUUUAGUCACACGUGAUACAUUUUAUUUUAGAACUUCCUCCAUUUUUCUAGGAUUUAAGCUCGUUUGAGAAGGGCCAUCCACACCCUCUGUGCCUGUGCAUCCAACUCAACCUGUUACAAAUACUUGCCUGUUAGUCCACCCAUUGCACAGCACUAUAGAAUUUGUUGGCAUUUAAUAAAUAAUAAUCAGUAAUAAUAGAAUACUAUUGAGAUAAGGCUACUGUUAUCUGCUGUGUGGCCAGAAAGCAGUAUAAGGUGUUUUCUACUUUAGAGGUUCAUUGAUCUGGAAUUGCAGGAAUUUAAAAGAUGUAAUCUAAUAUAUAAUUUAUAAGCGUUUAGAUUAUCUGAACUGUGCUGCAUGACAUAUUUAACUUAAGUUAACAUACAAUCUUCCUAUAGCUAAACCCAAUCAAAUGAGGGAUUUUAAAGGUUAGCAGCUAAUUUAUAUGACUGCCCCAUCAUUUUAAACAAGAUAAGGAAUUAUUGAAAAGAAUCUAGAUGCUAACAUCUACGCAGAAUUCUUAAAUCUGUAUAUUGGAGUUUGUGUGUGACUGUGUCCCUGUUUCUGUCUGUGUGUUUGGAUUAUAACAUCAGGAAAUGUUGGUGACAGAUAUACUUUAAUGACUCUAAUACUGCACUUGCAUAAUCAAUUGAUGGCAGUUGUUUUAUAAUAAUAAAAUAAAUUAGAUCAAAUAUCAGCUCUGUGGGUGCCAUGUUUUCCAAGCAUUAAAUUGUUAAAUUAUAUUAAAUUAUUUGCUAUGUUUUUAUAUGAUCUCUUUUGAUAAUAUUUCAAUUUUCUACACUAAUUCUUCAUCACUAAAUUGUGAGCAUUCAUUUAAAUGCAUAGACAUACUUUGUCUCUUCUGAGUCUACACACACACACACACAUAUAUAUAUUCCUAUUAUUAAUUUAAUUUUUCUUGUUAUCUUGAGUAUACACCAUUCCUUAUAUUUCUAAAUUCAAUGGUAUCCAACUUUUUAAAUUGCUAACAAACUUUUAAAAUUUGGGCAUUGUGGGCCAAACUUAAUCAUUGAUUUUCCAUAAUGGUAUUUGCUAAUGUAUUUAAGAAGCCUAUUGCUGUAUAGCCUUUAUAUUGUUUUUACUCACAUUAUUUUAAGUACAAGCAAAAAUUUACAUAUAGAUUUAUUGACAAAGAGUGCUAUCCAUUUUAUGUGGCGCAAUUCUAGUUUGUUAUGUUAAGUUAUUUUGUGUGAACAUAUAACUGGAACAACGUUGAGUAAAUAUAUUUGCAUCAUCUUCAAUCAGUCUGGAAAAUGUCUCACGUGGACAGAUUAUGAGAUCUCAGACAUUAAAGAGAAACUGUUUAUUGACAAAGGAAUAUUGUGAGAAUUAUUUUUGGUCCAUUUCACUUUGCCAGCAUAGCUAUGAGAUAAUUUUGCCUCCAGCAUAUUUAUUUAUUUAUUUAUUUUCUACUCAAUCCAAACUCAGUUUAGACCAGGCUUCUGCCUGUUCCUGAACUGAUAGCUGUUUACUCUGCAAAAGCACGUUUAGACAUGCCCAGGAGAUGAGAAACGUUUUAACUUGGUGCAGACUGCAUAGAGGAAUUCAGACUGCCAGGUGUGUUCUGAACCAUAUAUGGAGUUUGGACGUUCCCCAGCAGCAACAGGCCCAGACAGAUAAAGGGAUAGUCAGAUGCAAAUCUAAGGUUUAGAUUGCUCUAUAACUGGUUAGGAUCUAGUAACUUUUAUAAAUGCAAAUGCAUCUAGUUAAAUUAAUACAGUUCUAAAAUAUCCUAAACAUAGUCUUGACAAUGUAGAUAUUUUGAAAAGCAGAUAUGGUUUACAUAUUUUAAACUUUUUAGUACAUAUGGUAUUGAGCAUUUUAGAUGUCAACUAUGCCAUGUCUAUUUAAGCCAGCUAAAGACACAUAACUGGGUCCAUACCAUGUUAAUGUGUUCCCAUUGGUUGAAAAAGGGACAUCACAUUUAUCGUGACUGCAGUGUAUUGCUUAAAAACAAGUAUUUAUUGCAGCAUCAAUACUUUUUCACACUGCUAAGGAGACAAUUUCACAAUUAUAGUACUCUGGUCGAAAGCAUUUUUUAGAAUUUAUUUUAAAAAUCCUGUUGGAAUCUGUAAUUUUAUUUUUUUAAUUUUUUUUUUAAUUUUUUUUAAUACAUGGAGUCUCAUAAUUUAGUUUAUGGCUUUCCUCUUGCAAAUUAAUGGUGUCAGCAAUAAGCAAAUGAGGCAUCCAGUCUAUCAUAGCAAGACAUGUUUAAAAUUAUGUUCUUUUUUUGGCAGAAUAAAUGACAUUUUGAUUAAUCUGCUUCAAGGUCUUAAUAUUGAAUCAUAUGCGUAAACCCCAUCCCCCCCACCCCCUCCUCCAAAAAGGCUGGAACUUAGCACUCGAUAUACCGGCCUACAUUUAUACCCAAAUCAAUGCUGAAAACAUUAGUAUUAAAGUAUUACUCUGAACAGACAACUGUCGUAGAUAAAGGAUUAUCUUUCUUAUUUUUUUGGUCUUCUUGAAUUUAUUUAUUCCAAAGGAAAUGAGACUAAAAUGAAAUGUUGCUUUAAACCCCUCAUAGGGAUCUUUCUAUGGAAGUAUUGUCACUGUUAUAUAUAAUAAAGAAAUUACUUUCAUUUUAAACAAUUCUUUCUAUUUAAUGCUAACUUAAAGUUAUUACUGACGUCCGCAAUACUGGCUCUGUUCAUAUUAAAACUGUGCUAUUAAUAUGGUCAUUGGGGUGCAAAAUUUAAUCAUUAAAAGAUUCCCGCCAGCAUGCAGACUGUUUAGUAAUAUUAGAUGGGUAUCCGAACUGUUAUUUCUUAAUAACUUUCAGUGUAUAAUUCUAUUGUUUUUUAUAUUUUUUUCUAGAUGGUGUGUAACUGAAAAAAAUGUCUACUACUGCCUGGUAAUUAUUACUUCGAGAUCAGAGCAAAAUCAGGAUUCUUCUAGCUGUGACUCGAGACACAAGAUGGAGCACACAAAAAGAGACACAAGAUGGAGCACACAAAAAUCCACUAAGCCCCAUUACCAAUAAAUUUUAUUUUGCUGGGGAUUUUUCUUUUUACUCUAUGAAAGAAUGAUAGCCCAAUGACCUGAGACUCAUGCGUACAACCAACUUUCUGACAGCUUCAACUUGGUGGGUUUAACAAGUGAUCCACAUGUCCUACUGUCCUUCAUUCCACCGGAGUCUGUUUCAUACAUAACCAGAUUUCAGUGGGGUGAAGCACAAGAGGCGUGUUACAGCAUCAACACAACAGUAAAAAAAACUUUAAAAAAAAGUCUGCUGUGAUUAUGGCAGCCAUCUUUAAUUGGUUUACUAUCUAAUACUGAAUUAUUUGGUACUUACAAUGUCUAAAAUGGAAAUAUUUAAUGGUAUGUGAAUGUGUGUUUUUUUACAGUUAAAUAUACCCAAUGUGGAUGACAUGUUUAUUAUUUUGUCAUUUGUUUUUUGCUAGAUUCAAGGAUAUAUUUUUAUAUCAAUCCAACACAGCAUUGUGAAAAACCUGUUAAAAUGGUUAUUGUUAAAAUGACAAAAAAAUUUGAUUAUAUGUUUGAUUUAAAAACACAAUACCACAAAUCAUUUUCAAAAUGAUGGAUGUUGAAGUUGAGAUAUCAUUCUUAUGCAGUUUGAUAAACAAUCACUAGGUUUUGAAAAGUUAAGUCUAAAUUUGAUCUAUGUGGAUAGAUCACUUGCUAUAAUGUUACCGUUUUUUUUAAACGGACUAUACCUGGAAUUCUAAAUGCAAGCAAAACAACCAUAGUGUAAAGCUGAUGUGAAUAUUUGUUUGCACAAAACAGACCUUUUUGGAGAAGCUUCGUUGUUAAACUUGCAAAUUCUAUAAAAUUACAUUUUAUUUUAUUUUCUGACAUUAUGGCUUUUUGUCUAAUCGAGGAUGAAUUUAGAGUCUAUGGUGCACUAAAGAAAGAAUUCAAAGUGAAUUGAAAGUGAAUUCCAAAUGUAAGACUAGAGAAGCCGAACUGAAUGCAUAGCUGACUAGGGAGCUCUUCCAGUUUGGAUAUUUUGAACCUAAUUUUGAAAUUCACUUUGACUUCUCACUUUAGUGCAUAACCCUUUAAAUCAGCGGUGCCCAAAAGGUAGAUCCCCAGAUGUUAUAGAAUACAACUCCCAUGAUGCUUUGUAUGCCUUUAGAAUCAUCUAAGGAUCUACUUGUUGGGCACCCCUGCUUUAAAUGAAAAGAUAAUGCAGGAAAUUGUGGUAAUUUGAUUUAUAGUUGAGUAGUCCACAUACUUUUACAUUUUACCAAAACAUUGCUUUUAUCUAACAUUUGCAUAAUACAACUGAUGUCAUAUCUGUAUUAUUUUACGAUAAGCUUAUUAAACCAGUUCUCUAUAUUACUACAGAGACAGGUAGGGGGCAACGCUGAAACAACAAGACACUAAUGGUCAAGAAAAAUCAUGGGUGUUUGAUGGUAUAAGACUGACAAUACAAAGUAAAGUACCGUUUGGGUUAUAUCCUUGGGCAAAUGACCCAUAAAACCCUUUAUCUUUGUUGUUUUUAAUCCUGGGUUCCUGUUAUAUGAAUUUUAUUUAUUAUGAAUGGAAGAUGUCACUAAAGAAAUAAAAAAACUCUAAAAUACUAUUGUUACUGACAUUUAUGCUUCACAGUGAUAAAAAACAUACAGAAAAAAAUGUAAUUAGUCUAAUCUUGUCAGUAUCAUUAUCUUGCUAUCUGAUAAUGUUGCCUUAUUUAAUAAUGGAUUCUGCAAUAUAACAUUUAUACGAUACACAAUGUAUUAAUAUUUUUUAUUUUGUUUACAAAAUGUUUUCCAGAAAGUAGUAAUAUGAAAUGUAUCUUGCUUUCAAGUAUAUGCAAAAGAAAAGAAAAAAAGUUAAUGUAUAUGCCAAUAUUGAAGACAUUAUUAAAGGAACACUGUCAUUUAUUCUGUAAUGGUUCUGGUGCCAGUAGUGGCCAUGGGCCUCCCCUACCUUCCAUUGUAAGAAGUCAAACAUUUUUGGACUAAUUGAUUUCUUACCUAGGGUCCACCAUGUGCUGCUUCCUGACUCCACUACAAUCAUCUGAGAGCCGGAUGUUCAUUUGCAGGGUUUUCUGUUAAUGCAGGGGAAAAGGAUGCAAGAGCUCAGGAGAGUUAAUGUCAGUUAAUGCGGAUUAACUUCCUGUUCUCAGGAGAUUGUAGUGGAGACAGGGAGCAACACCCAGCAGAGCCCAGGUAAAAAGUCAGAUUGUUCAAAAAUGCAAAUGUGACAGGGCACUAGCUCAGUAGAAGUGCUGAUUUCAAAAGACGGUGUUGCUAGGUUAUAGAAUAGAGGUGAUUUAAUUAGUUUAUUUAACAGGUAUUGGGAGUUAAAGUUGGCUUAGGCAACUCCUUAGAUGAAGUUGUUAUGGUGUAUAAACUGUCCCUUUCAAUUUUAAUUUAGCCUUGAAUUCUCUUUUAGUGAAUAACCCGGACAUACUUUUGCAAAGUACUGUUUGAAGCCUGCUCAUACUUCUCCGUCUGUUCAGCAAUUUGGCUAAUCACACGUCUGAAAUUAUUACAAGAUUAAUGGGAAUAACUUAUUAGGUUUUGAAAUUGUUCUUGUGUAACUUUGACAGCUUGAUGGCACAAUCUGGGAGGCUUCUGGCAUUCCGUUUGUUGACAGACACAGUCACCCUGCAAUACAGUUGAAAAGGUUUUCUUCAAAUAACAUUUUUUGCAGUUCAUGAAUACACCAUAAUAAAUAGUAAAAACGUCCUAAAUUAUUAUUACUUAUUUUCUAUCUAAAAAUACAGAAUUAUAUUUUACUGUUAUUCAUAUUCUGUAAUCAGAAGUAGAAAUGAAAAUACAUACUCAUACAUGAAUCUGUCUGCUCUUCCAUUGCUUUUAGACACGCUAACUUUUGCUAAUGUUGCAUCUCAGCUGUUGGGAAGGAGAGGUCCAAUGGUACAGUGCUUGUUGCAUUAGCAGGUGAAAUUUUAGAUCUGUAACUAGCACAUAUCACAAACAACUGGGAUUGCAAUAU